CGCCCUUUUCCGGUUGAUCCUGCCGGACCCGACUGCUAUCAGAGUGGGACUAAGCCAUGCGAGUCAACAUAGCAAUAUGUGGCAUACGGCUCAGUAACACGUAGUCAACAUGCCCAGGGGACGUGGAUAACCUCGGGAAACUGAGGAUAAACCGCGAUAAGUCACUACUUCUGGAAUGGGUAAUGACUCAAAUCUACAUGGCCCCUGGAUUGGACUGCGGCCGAUCAGGCUGUUGGUGAGGUAAUGGCCCACCAAACCUGUAACCGGUACGGCUCUGAGAGGAGGAGCCCGGAGAUGGGCACUGAGACAAGGGUCCAGGCCCUAUGGGGCGCAGCAGGCGCGAAACCUCUGCAAUAGGCGAAAGCUGACAGGGCUACUCUGAGUGAUUUCCGUUAAGGAGAUCUUUUGGCACCUCUAAAAAUGGUGCAGAAUAAGGGGUGGGCAAGUCUGGUGUCAGCCGCCGCGGUAAUACCAGCACCCCGAGUGGUCGGGACGUUUAUUGGGCCUAAAGCAUCCGUAGCCGGUUCUACAAGUCUUCCGUUAAAUCCACCUGCUUAACAGAUGGGCUGCGGAAGAUACUAUAGAGCUAGGAGGCGGGAGAGGCAAGCGGUACUCGAUGGGUAGGGGUAAAAUCCGUUGAUCCAUUGAAGACCACCAGUGGCGAAGGCGGCUUUCCAGAACGCGCUCGACGGUGAGGGAUGAAAGCUGGGGGAGCAAACCGGAUUAGAUACCCGGGUAGUCCCAGCUGUAAACGAUGCAGACUCGGUGAUGAGUUGGCUUCUUUCCAACUCAGUGCCGCAGGGAAGGCGUUAAGUUUUCCGCUGGGGAGUACGGUCGCAAGCUUAAACUUAAAGGAUUUGCGGGGGAGACCCAAGGGUGAAGCUUCGUUCAUUUGAUUCAACGCCGGAAGGC
rnacentral:rRNA from 1 species